AGACAGUUGCACCUUCAAUAUUUUAUGCCAACUUUAGCUUGUCGUUGAUCCAUGAAAUUUAAUGGAAAGAUCUGGUGUUUCGAGGGUGAAAAAGUUCCCCAUGCAGAUUUCAAUGUGUUCAAGUUGGUCCAACAAAUUUGCUGUUCUUCAAUGCGAGUCUGUUUCGCUUUUUUCCAAUAAAUUUUCACCCAAAUUAUUUGUAUAUUCUAUUAACAUACAUGUCACUGAUCUACCAACAGAAUUAAGGCAGCAUAAACAAUAAAUCAAUUUAGGAUUUUACUGUGACAAAUAAUGUCAAAAGUAUGUAAAAAGUAAUUUUUACAUAAUUAAAUAUUAUUAUUUUUUUUAUAAUUUGAAUUUUAUACAAUAACAUUUAAAAUAUAUUCGUUAUAAUUAUACAAGUCGCAACAAUGUUUUCAAACAUUUCAGAAAACACAAAACAUUAGAAAAUAGAGCGCGCGACGCCAACAUUUGUGGUAACCAUAGCAAUAGUUUGCCGCUGCAGCAAAUUCGUUGAGAUUCCCAAUCGGACAUCGGCUAAACAUAAAAGUUUGAUCUACUUGCAAAAGAGAAGAGAAGUUAACAAAUGAAAGAAACAAGUGGAACAAAGGUGAAGAGAAAUGAAAGAAAACUACUUGUCACUGAUAAACGACGUGACAAGAGACACGCUGAACGUGACAGACACAAACUGCCAGGGUUGGGAAAGUUCCAUGAGCCACGACUCAAACCCGGGAUGCCCAAAAGCACAACAACGCUAUAUGUCGUUGUGGUGCCCACGAGGCUAUUGGCACAGACAUAAAUGUCACUUUAUCAAUUUUAUUGCAUUCUUGUUGAAUAAAAGCUUUUUUAUAGAUCUAUAUAUUUUACUGACCCCAGACUCUUGAUUGGUAAUGUACAAUAUCUUCAGACUAAGUGUACGAAUGUUU